rnacentral:lncRNA from 1 species
ACCUAUCUCCAGACCCAAACUAAAGGCCACCUUGUCUGUGAAGCCCUAACUUUUCACCUGUACUAACUACAAUUCUCUUACCAGACCGCAAGUUCCUUGAAAGACACAGGUCAUCAUGAUACAUUUUUCUCCUCCUCAAUGCCUAAUAAGAAAUUGCUCAUAACAGGCCUUAAGAAUGAAUAAAUGCCAAAGAAUGGCUGGGCGCGGUGGCUCACACCUGUAAUCUCAGCACUUUGGGAGGCUGAGGCAGGCAGAUCACCUGAGGUCAGGAGUUUGAGACAAGCCUGGCCAACAUAGUGAAACCCCAUCUCUACCAAAAAUACAAAAAUUAGCCAGGCAUGGUGGCACGUGCCUGUAAUCCCAGCUACUUGGGAGGCUGAGGCAGAAGAAUCGCUUGAACCCGGGAGGCAGAGGUUGGAUUGAGCCAAGAUCACGCCACUGCAUUCCAGCCUGGAUGACAGAGCAAGACUCCGUCUCAACCCAUCUCAGCUGCCACUGCCGUAAAAAUAAAGACAAAGCUUCUUCAUGUGGCCUCUGAUGCCCUGUAGGGUCUGCUUGUUCUAGGCUCCUGGCACCUUCCUCUAGCUGGAGUACCAUUGGCCUUUUUCAGUCCUUCACACUGGCCUCGCUUCCUCCUCCCGCAGGAUUCUUGUAAAUAAAAGUUCCUUGUGCUAGAGAGCUCUUCCCAACCUUUUCCACCUAGAUAAACUCUUCCUUAUCCUUCAAUUCCAAGCUCAAGCUUCCUCUGACCAGGGGAAAUCUGGCUGUCACAGGCUCUCCUGAUUCUGUGUCCUUCCCUUGCAGUAUUUGUACUAGUUGUCAUUUCGCAUUUGUAGGAUUCACGUCUGACAAGGCUUUGAGCU